rnacentral:hammerhead_ribozyme from 1 species
GCACUGCUGAGGAGUCCCAUACUAGGAUGAAACGGUCGUCUAGUGC